GGUUAAGCGACUAAGCGUACACGGUGGAUGCCCUGGCAGUCAGAGGCGAUGAAGGACGUGCUAAUCUGCGAAAAGCGUCGGUAAGGUGAUAUGAACCGUUAUAACCGGCGAUGUCCGAAUGGGGAAACCCAGUGCAAUUCGUUGCACUAUCGUUAACUGAAUACAUAGGUUAACGAGGCGAACCGGGGGAACUGAAACAUCUAAGUACCCCGAGGAAAAGAAAUCAACCGAGAUUCCCCCAGUAGCGGCGAGCGAACGGGGAGCAGCCCAGAGUCUGAAUCAGCUUGUGUGUUAGUGGAACGGUCUGGAAAGUCCGACGGUACAGGGUGAUAGUCCCGUACACCAAAAUGCACAGGCUGUGAACUCGAAGAGUAGGGCGGGACACGUGGUAUCCUGUCUGAAUAUGGGGGGACCAUCCUCCAAGGCUAAAUACUCCUGACUGACCGAUAGUGAACCAGUACCGUGAGGGAAAGGCGAAAAGAACCCCGGCGAGGGGAGUGAAAAAGAACCUGAAACCGUGUACGUACAAGCAGUGGGAGCACCUUCGGGUGUGACUGCGUACCUUUUGUAUAAUGGGUCAGCGACUUAUAUUCUGUAGCAAGGUUAACCGUAUAGGGGAGCCGCAGGGAAACCGAGUCUUAACUGGGCGUUAAGUUGCAGGGUAUAGACCCGAAACCCGGUGAUCUAGCCAUGGGCAGGUUGAAGGUUGGGUAACACUAACUGGAGGACCGAACCGACUAAUGUUGAAAAAUUAGCGGAUGACUUGUGGCUGGGGGUGAAAGGCCAAUCAAACCGGGAGAUAGCUGGUUCUCCCCGAAAGCUAUUUAGGUAGCGCCUCGUGAACUCAUCUUCGGGGGUAGAGCACUGUUUCGGCUAGGGGGUCAUCCCGACUUACCAACCCGAUGCAAACUACGAAUACCGAAGAAUGUUAUCACGGGAGACACACGGCGGGUGCUAACGUCCGUCGUGAAGAGGGAAACAACCCAGACCGCCAGCUAAGGUCCCAAAGUCAUGGUUAAGUGGGAAACGAUGUGGGAAGGCACAGACAGCCAGGAUGUUGGCUUAGAAGCAGCCAUCAUUUAAAGAAAGCGUAAUAGCUCACUGGUCGAGUCGGCCUGCGCGGAAGAUGUAACGGGGCUAAACCAUGCACCGAAGCUGCGGCAGCGACACUAUGUGUUGUUGGGUAGGGGAGCGUUCUGUAAGCCUGCGAAGGUGACCUGUGAGGGUUGCUGGAGGUAUCAGAAGUGCGAAUGCUGACAUAAGUAACGAUAAAGCGGGUGAAAAGCCCGCUCGCCGGAAGACCAAGGGUUCCUGUCCAACGUUAAUCGGGGCAGGGUGAGUCGACCCCUAAGGCGAGGCCGAAAGGCGUAGUCGAUGGGAAACAGGUUAAUAUUCCUGUACUUGGUGUUACUGCGAAGGGGGGACGGAGAAGGCUAUGUUAGCCGGGCGACGGUUGUCCCGGUUUAAGCAUGUAGGCUGGUUGUCCAGGCAAAUCCGGAUAAUCAAGGCUGAGGUGUGAUGACGAGGUACUACGGUGCUGAAGUAACAAAUGCCCUGCUUCCAGGAAAAGCCUCUAAGCAUCAGGUAACAUCAAAUCGUACCCCAAACCGACACAGGUGGUCAGGUAGAGAAUACCAAGGCGCUUGAGAGAACUCGGGUGAAGGAACUAGGCAAAAUGGUGCCGUAACUUCGGGAGAAGGCACGCUGGUGUGUAGGUGAAGUCCCUGCGGAUGGAGCUGAGACCAGUCGAAGAUACCAGCUGGCUGCAACUGUUUAUUAAAAACACAGCACUGUGCAAACACGAAAGUGGACGUAUACGGUGUGACGCCUGCCCGGUGCCGGAAGGUUAAUUGAUGGGGUUAUCCGUAAGGAGAAGCUCUUGAUCGAAGCCCCGGUAAACGGCGGCCGUAACUAUAACGGUCCUAAGGUAGCGAAAUUCCUUGUCGGGUAAGUUCCGACCUGCACGAAUGGCGUAAUGAUGGCCAGGCUGUCUCCACCCGAGACUCAGUGAAAUUGAACUCGCUGUGAAGAUGCAGUGUACCCGCGGCAAGACGGAAAGACCCCGUGAACCUUUACUAUAGCUUGACACUGAACAUUGAGCCUUGAUGUGUAGGAUAGGUGGGAGGCUUUGAAGCGUGGACGCCAGUCUGCGUGGAGCCAACCUUGAAAUACCACCCUUUAAUGUUUGAUGUUCUAACGUUGGCCCCUGACCGGGGUUGCGGACAGUGUCUGGUGGGUAGUUUGACUGGGGCGGUCUCCUCCCAAAGCGUAACGGAGGAGCACGAAGGUUAGCUAAUCCUGGUCGGACAUCAGGAGGUUAGUGCAAUGGCAUAAGCUAGCUUGACUGCGAGCGUGACGGCGCGAGCAGGUGCGAAAGCAGGUCAUAGUGAUCCGGUGGUUCUGAAUGGAAGGGCCAUCGCUCAACGGAUAAAAGGUACUCCGGGGAUAACAGGCUGAUACCGCCCAAGAGUUCAUAUCGACGGCGGUGUUUGGCACCUCGAUGUCGGCUCAUCACAUCCUGGGGCUGAAGUAGGUCCCAAGGGUAUGGCUGUUCGCCAUUUAAAGUGGUACGCGAGCUGGGUUUAGAACGUCGUGAGACAGUUCGGUCCCUAUCUGCCGUGGGCGCUGGAGAAUUGAGGGGGGCUGCUCCUAGUACGAGAGGACCGGAGUGGACGCAUCACUGGUGUUCGGGUUGUCAUGCCAAUGGCACUGCCCGGUAGCUAAAUGCGGAAGAGAUAAGUGCUGAAAGCAUCUAAGCACGAAACUUGCCCCGAGAUGAGUUCUCCCUGAGACUUUAAGUCUCCUGAAGGAACGUUGAAGACGACGACGUUGAUAGGCCGGGUGUGUAAGCGCAGCGAUGCGUUGAGCUAACCGGUACUAAUGAACCGUGAGGCUUAACCUU
rnacentral:rRNA from 1 species